rnacentral:lncRNA from 1 species
GUCCUGGUGGGGUGGGUGGUAGUGGAAGGGACAGGUUGCCCUGCUGGCAAUCUGAUUAACAAGUAGUGGUGGAGAGGACUAGUGGAGUUGUUGAGUGGACCAAAUCCUUUGUCGGCAAUCCUAUUAAGAGGUAGUAGUAGUAGUAGUAGUAGUGUGCAGUGGAAUAGAGUGGAGUGGAUUAGUGAGGUUGAGGGGACCUGUUGCUCUGUAGACAAUCAUCUUAGUGAAGUGGUCAUAUGACCAGCCCACAUAGCCAGGAUCAGUAUGAACCCCUGUGGGCAGUCACACAGUGGUGGGCUAAGGGGAGACCACACUGACCACAGCACAGAGCACAUCCAAUGAUCAGCAUCUACUUGGAGCCAGUCAAAGGACACUCAUGCCUCUCCGGAAGGAAACCCUCAGAGAUGUCUGGACAGACGACCGGUAAGAUCUUGGUGCAUGUCUUAAUAUACAGUGCCUUCAGAAAGUAUUCAUACCCCCUUGACUUAUUCCAAAUGUUGUUCUGUUACAGCCUGAAUUCAAAAUGGAUUAAAUAUAUUAUUUUUCUCUCCCCCAUCUACCAACAAUACCCCACAAUGACAAAGUGAAAAUAUAUAUUUUUUUAAUGUUGCAGCCACCACUGUGCUUGAAAAUAUGGAGAGUGGUACUCAGUAAUGUGUUGUAUUGGAUUUGCCCCAAACAUAACAUACAAAAAUGUAAUUGCUUUGUGACAUUUUUUUCAGUAUUACUUCAGUGCUUUUGCUUUUCUGCAAACAUGAUGCAUGUUUUGGAAUAUUUUUAUUCUGUACAGGCUUCCUUCUUUUCACACUGUCAAUUAGGCUAGUAUUGUGGAGUAACUAUAACGUUGUUGAUCGAUCUUCAGUUUUAUCCUAUCACAGCCAUUCAAUCCUGUAAAUGUUUUAAAGUCACCAAUGGCCUCAUGGUGAAAUCCCUGAGUGGUUUUCCUUCCUUAGGAAGGAUGCCCGUGUUUUUGUAGUGACUGGGUGUAUUGAUACACCAUCCAAAAUGUAAUUAAUAACAUCACCGUGCUCAAAGGGAUUUUCAAUGUAUGCUUCUUUUUUUUUUUUUUUACCCAUCUACCAAUAGAUGCCCUUCUUUGCAAGGUGUUCAGGAGGGUGCAAUGUUACAGAUAUACAUCAUGUAGAACAGACAUUACACUAUUUUGCGAAUAAUAAUAAAUAAUGUCAGUUCAAUGCAUCUCAAUGUCAUAUAUGUCUUGCCCAAACCUAUGUCUGAAGAAAUGAAUUAUUAAAAAGUGUCAUGAUUUUAAAAAAUUGAUUCCGCAGGUCUCAAGAAAGUCAAGAUAUGUCCACUCCACAUAAGGUAAAAGACAAUCAUACCAAGUUUUAAAAUAUAAAAAGAUACCUACAGCAGGGUGUGCCUUUGCGUACAUUUUUAAGACACUUGUUGUCCAUUUUACGUGUGUGUGUGUGUGUGUGUGUGUCUGUGUGUGUCCUUUAGUUCCUGUGUUGUGUCCGAGGUCAAAUUUGGUUAGUAAUGAGUCACAUCGACCAUUACAUUCACAGGGGGGGGGGGGGGGGGUCCGUUACCACAUGUGUAUAACGGACCUGUGUUUGUCCUCUGUCCUCUAAGGACACCUCCUCCCCCCCCCGCCAUGUUGGUUCGUCCCGUUGACGUGUCUCUGCCUUUGAAGAGCUGAUGACUUUACACAUAAAUCCUAUUAGCAACUUUCUGCUGAUUGCCAGCCAUUGAGUCCCAGGCUACUCACUCGCUUUAUUAUCUCCAUUGUGUUGAAUUUCCCCCCUCCCUCUUCCUUUUAAACUAAAAACUUUUAGGGAAAAGAGGAGUCUGUAGUUUGUUAGAGCUGAAGUCACUGGCCACACAAUGUCUGCAGAGAAGGUAACGUUAUCGAAACUGUUUUGAGGGGCUUUUCUUGUCGAAGGGACGCCGGAGAGAAGGAAUACUCGCGAUGGGUCCUAUAAAGUUAAUAACAUUUCUCAUAUAGCAUUUUGAUUCAUUCGGAUAUACUGUAAUGGUGUUUACGAUGACUACGGGUUAAAUUACUUGCCCUCUUGAUUGGUAGACAAUUCAGUGGAUAGAAAACCGGUUGAGUGAUUGAGCAUGCUGCUGUGGUAUUGUUACAGUUCUAAAGUGACUGGUUUACCCCAGCCUGUUGUGCGUCGUGAGUAGCCCUUGCUCACAGGAGUAGGACGGGAGCCUCCUGUUUCGUAGCGUGAGGCAGCUUCAGUUAAAAAGGACACCCUCUGGAU